rnacentral:rRNA from 1 species
CACGUAGUUGGCCGGGCCUCUUCUGGAGGUACCGUCAUUUCUUCCCUCCUGAAAGCGGUUUACAACCCGAAGGCCUUCAUCCCGCACGCGGUGUCGCUGCAUCAGGCUUUCGCCCAUUGUGCAAUAUUCCCUG